AAGUCGUAACAAGGUUUCCGUAGGUGAACCUGCGGAAGGAUCAUUAUCGAGUUUGGGUCCUCUGGGCCCCCUCUCCAACCCUUGUCUAUUCUACCACGUUGCUUCGGCGGGCCCGUCCCCUCACCGGACCGCCGGGGAUUCACGUCCCUGGCCCGCGCCCGUCAGUAGCCCCCCUAAAACUCUCUGAAUCGUGACGUCUAAGCAAGCUAUAAUAACUAAAACUUUCAACAACGGAUCUCUUGGUUCUG
rnacentral:misc_RNA from 1 species